UACAGAGGGUGCAAACGUUGUUCGGAAUUACUGGGCGUAAAGCGCGUGCAGGCGGCCUUGCAAGUCGGACGUGAAAUCCCACGGCUCAACCGUGGAAGUGCAUUCGAAACUGCGAGGCUGGAGUCCUGGAAGAGGAAAGUGGAAUACGUCGGUGUAGAGGGUGAAAUUCGUAGAUAUCAAGCAGAACAACCGGUGGCGAAGGCGGCCUUACU
rnacentral:rRNA from 1 species